UACGGAAGGCAGCAGUGGGGAAUAUUGGACAAUGGGCGCAAGCCUGAUCCAGCCAUGCCGCGUGUGUGAAGAAGGCCUUCGGGUUGUAAAGCACUUUUGUCCGGAAAGAAAAGCUUAGGGUUAAUAACCUUGAGUCAUGACGGUACCGGAAGAAUAAGCACCGGCUAACUUCGUGCCAGCAGCCGCGGUAAUACGAAGGGUGCAAGCGUUACUCGGAAUUACUGGGCGUAAAGCGUGCGUAGGUGGUUUUGUUAAGUCUGAUGUGAAAGCCCUGGGCUCAACCUGGGAAUGGCAUUGGAAACUGGCUUACUAGAGUGCGGUAGAGGGGUGUGGAAUUCCCGGUGUAGCAGUGAAAUGCGUAGAUAUCGGGAGGAACAUCUGUGGCGAAGGCGACACCCUGGACCAGCACUGACACUGAGGCACGAAAGCGUGGGGAGCAAACAGGAUUAGAUACC
rnacentral:rRNA from 1 species